ACAGUGGGAAAACCAGCCUGGCAACAUAGUGCGUAUUAAUAAAAGGACACCACAUCCUGCCAAAUUCCAGCUGCGCUAAUUGUAUUGUGUUCACAGAGCUCACAAGCUAUCAGAAAGUUGUAUGGCAACCACCUCCGGCGCCAAAUAGAACUGGCAGACAUAGACAUUCAGUACAAGAAGAAAAAGAUGGAAAAUCUUGCACUGGAGUCCGAAAUAAGAGGACAAUUAGGAAACUGGACCUUGAAAUAAAAAAACUUGAGGGAGCUCCAAGAAGAUGACACAGCUCAAAAUAAAAAUUAGCAAUCAGUACAACCAAGUCAUCGUUAUAAGGCAUCGCCCUCUUUUGCCCACCCCCCCCAGCACCAGGUGUGGCCACUAGCCUAUAUGAAGGCCCAAAAUUGUGUGUUCCUUUCUGCUCUGACAAUGGCAUGCCCAUUCGUGCGAGAUGUGGUGGAUGAAGAAGCACUUGUGCUGAGGAGAGCCUUCAGGCGAGAAAGGGUCUUCAGGGACCGGUUGGACCCACUGGCCUUCCCUGAUGACCAUCUAUAUGAAAGAUACAGGUUUUCUGCAGAUGGCAUCAGGUAUCUAUGCAGACUACUGGGUCCCAGGAUUAAGCACCGCACUGCACGGAGCCAUGCACUGAGUGUGGAGCAAAUGGUUUGUGUGGCCUUGCGCUUUUUUGCUAGUGGAGCCUUCCUGUACUCAGUGGGGGAUGCAGAACAGCUGAACAAGGCCACAAUUUGCCGCACAAUAAGGAGUGUGUGUCUGGCUAUCAAAGCAUUAGCAGAUGUCUUCAUCUCCUUCCCUGCCCACAGAAGACUCUGUGACAUCAAAGAGGAGUUCUAUAGGAUUGCAGGUAAGAGGAUCUACAAAUUACAGGACAACUGUUAACACAUAGUAGGAUACUCAUUACUUUGUGUGACAGGUUUCCCCAAUGUCAUUGGUGCAGUGGACUGCACACACAUAAGGUUAAAAGCCCCCUCAGGUGCCCAUGAGGCCGAUUUUGUGAAUAGGAAAUCCUUUCAC